UGGAUCAACAAAUCAAAAACAAAAGAAAAAAGAAAAAAAAUCGCGGGAAAACAUGAACAAAUUUUCUCAUCCGAACGGCUCCAUCGUCGGUGUGGCAGGACCUCCGGAUUUGUUCCACAGCUCAUCUAACAGGAACACAUAGAAGUCGGACAAACGUACGAAGCUGGUUUAAGAAGGGAAUGGGACCCUGUAUUGAUCCAGUAGCUACGGCCUUCAGCUUGGGAUAAUUAUUCCCCAAGGCAAGCGAUUGGCGGAAAUAUGUUGACCAUAAUGUGUCAAGCGAAACAUAAAGACAUUUGUACAUAUCGAAUAAAUUAUGCAAAAAACAAAA